rnacentral:rRNA from 1 species
AGUGAACGCUGGCGGUAGGCCUAACACAUGCAAGUCGAACGGCAGCACAGUAAGAGCUUGCUCUUACGGGUGGCGAGUGGCGGACGGGUGAGGAAUACAUCGGAAUCUACUUUUUCGUGGGGGAUGACGUAGGGAAACUUACGCUAAUACCGCAUACGACCUACGGGUGAAAGCAGGGGAUCUUCGGACCUUGCGCGAUUGAAUGAGCCGAUGUCGGAUUAGCUAGUUGGCGGGGUAAAGGCCCACCAAGGCGACGAUCCGUAGCUGGUCUGAGAGGAUGAUCUGCCACACUGGAACUGAGACACGGUCCAGACUCCUACGGGAGGCAGCAGUGGGGAAUAUUGGACAAUGGGCGCAAGCCUGAUCCAGCCAUACCGCGUGGGUGAAGAAGGCCUUCGGGUUGUAAAGCCCUUUUGUUGGGAAAGAAAAGCAGCAGGUUAAUACCCCGCUGUUCUGACGGUACCCAAAGAAUAAGCACCGGCUAACUUCGUG